UGCAAGUCGAACGGUAAGGCUUCUUCGGAAGUACACGAGUGGCGCACGGGUGCGUAACACGUAUGCAACCUACCUUUCAGCGGAGAAUAGUCAUUGGAAACGAUGAAUAAUACUCCAUAUGCUCACGGUAUCUCAUGAUAGAGUGAGGAAAGCUCCGGCGCUGAGAGAUGGGCAUGCGUCCCAUUAGCUAGUUGGUGAAGUAACGGUUUACCAAGGCAACGAUGGGUAGCUGGUCUGAGAGGAUGAUCAGUCACACGGGCACUGAGACACGGGCCCGACUCCUACGGGAGGCAGCAGUAAGGAAUAUUGGUCAAUGGGGGCAACCCUGAACCAGCCAUGCCGCGUGCAGGACGACGGCCCUCUGGGUUGUAAACUGCUUUUAUGUGGGGAUAAUGUGGUUCUAUACGAAUCAUUGCAGGUACUUCAGGAAUAAGCACCGGCUAACUCCGUGCCAGCAGCCGCGGUAAUACGGAAGGUGCAAGCGUUGUCCGGAUUUAUUGGGAUUAAAGGGUGCGUAGGCGGUAUUCUAAGUCAGUGGUGAAAGCGUCCGGCUUAACCGGAUACCCGCCAUUGAUACUGGGGAACUUGAGUACGUCUGAGGAGAUUAGAAUGCGUGGUGUAGCGGUGAAAUGCAUAGAUAUUACGCAGAACACCAAUUGCGAAGGCAGAUCUCUGGGACAUAACUGACGCUGAGGCACGAAAGCGUGGGGAGCGAACAGGAUUAGAUACCCUGGUAGUCCACGCUGUAAACGAUGAUUACUAGAUGUUCGGACUUCGGUCUGAGUGUCCAAGCGAAAGCGAUAAGUAAUCCACCUGGGGAGUACGUUCGCAAGAAUGAAACUCAAAGGAAUUGACGGGGGCCCGCACAAGCGGAGGAACAUGUGGUUUAAUUCGAUGAUACGCGAGGAACCUUACCUGGACUUAAAUGUAGAUGCAUGAUCGGGAAACUGAUCUUUCCUUCGGGACGAAUUACAAGGUGCUGCAUGGUUGUCGUCAGCUCGUGCCGUGAGGUGUCGGGUUAAGUCCCAUAACGAGCGCAACCCCUAUCGUUAGUUGCCAUCAGGUCAUGCUGGGGACUCUAACGAGACUGCCUCCGCAAGGAGUGAGGAAGGCGGGGUCGACGUCAAAUCAUCAUGGCCCUUACGCCCAGGGCGACACACGUGCUACAAUGGUCGGUACAGCGAGUAGCAAGCCUGCGAAGGUGAGCCAAUCUCUAAAAGCCGAUCUCAGUUCGGAUUGAAGUCUGCAACUCGACUUCAUGAAGUUGGAAUCGCUAGUAAUCGCGGAUCAGCCAUGCCGCGGUGAAUACGUUCCCGGGCCUUGUACACACCGCCCGUCAAGCCAUGGAAGCCGAGGGUACCUGAAGUCGG
rnacentral:rRNA from 1 species